CUAAUGAAAUGUUGUGCAGCACAUGCUUAUGUUAAUGUUUGUUACAUUAUAUAAUCAUAUAAAUAAAUAAAUACUCCCAAAGUCACCAGAAUUGAAAGCUUUGGUGCUGUUAAACAUUUAGAGAUUGAGGUUGUGGUGAGUCAGUAGUUCACUCAGUAUAUCUGGGUAAGACACAGUGAACGACUCACUGCUGGCGUUCAUGAAGAAGUCAUAAACUCCACUGGAAUAAUAAAUAGGAUCUAAUAAAACCAUGAGUGGAAAUUAUUGGUGUAAGUUUGUUAGGAUAGACUUCCUCCAACCUGGAACUAUAUCCUCCAGUCCACGCGGUGGCGGUAACGCGCCUAACAGCUGCGUCUCCGACCAGUAGAAAUCACAGAAGAAGAAAAAGCUGCAGCGGGUAUCUCCUGAGCAGUUGAGUUAUUACACCGAACUAAUCAUCUCCAGAUUUAAUUAUUUCUGACAGUUUUACAGUUAGAUUUGAUCCAGUUUAAACAUAAAAGCUGGUUAUUUUGUCUGUGUUUGAGGAAUUAAAACUCCGUUCGGUUUUUAAACCCGAGAAUCCCUUCUAUUGUGCACUGGAAGAUCGCUGGACUUGAAGCAACUCCAAAUGGUGGCCUGUUUGUCCAAAGCCCGUGGUGGUGGCAGUGCAUGGCGUGUGUGGGGGAGCAGGAGUGGAUCUAAUCACAGUCUGUGAUAUUCGUCUGUGCACACAGGAUGCCUGGUUUCAGGUGAAGUCGUGUGUUCCCUGAUAGUCAAUGAUUGCUGGAGCUCUGGAAAUAGCAGGUGAGAUUGCAGGCCGGAGUCCCGUUGCUGUCCAGGGAACCAAAUCAACCUCCUCUACUCCUGAGACCACAGUGUAACUGAGAGCCUAGACUACAUGGUAAGAAUCUGCUUAAGACAUGAAUAGCAUUUUUAGCCUCAAGGUAGACCUAUGCACACACAGUAUGGCCGCAAACACAAAGUAGAGCGGUCGAAAUCUGAGAUUUCUCCUCUGCGUCUCCAGGCUACUUGGAACAUGAACAUGUUGCAGACACAGGAUCUUAUGAAGUCAGCGCAGGCAGCCCUGGAAAAGAAGAGUUUGAAAGACGUGCCCUUCUCCAAGCUUUAAAGGAGAAGAUCCAGGGCUGUUGAAGCUGCGGUGGAACUGAGACUUCAUCAUCCACAGAUCUUUAGUUCUUCUUGCUAAGUCUGAGUUUCUUUUUAGUCUUUUUAUUUUUAGACUGGUCAAAAGACUGAUUAGUGGAAGUGAAAUGAUAGAUGAACUUUUAAUUACUUGCUUUAUUAUUUGCAGGUGCCUUGUACAGUAAGACUGGGUAACUAAUACUCAAAAGCUUGUUUUGUGUGUUAACAUGUACAGUAGAUGUACAUAUUUUUUCUGGUGCUGUGUGACUGCAGAAUGUAGUGCAGUUGACACAUUAAAUUUCCUUGGAUGCUCACUUUUAACUCGAGGAGGUCACAGUUUGCCCAGACAUCUUUUUUUAAAUCCGUCAAUCCGUCACCCACACGUCAUUCUGGGGGACGAAGAGGAGGAAGCUGGACAGAUAAAUUUAUUUAUUUAUCUAUCAUUGGUGUGUUUCCUCAAUCGAGUGCAGAAAGAAGAAAAACAACACAACUGAUUUAAAAUAAAAAUAUAGAAAACAAUCUAAUGUAAGGUUCUGAUCCAGUUUGCUUUCAGCAGGAAGGCUGUCCUCUUUCCUGUUGCUCUUUCCCUUCUAUUAGUCCAUUUGUCCAGUCUGAAUCGGUUUGAUUCAUUUUGAGACGAAUUGAGUCAAAUAAUUUUCUAGUGAGAGUCGCACACUUCCAAACGAACUAGACUGAGAUGAGUAUUUGAUUCUCACUAGAAAGUUAUUCGACUCUGAAUCAACUCGAAAUGAAUCAGUCAAACUGAUUCAGACUCUAUAAAAGGACUAUGAGAUGUGAUUAAGAUAUAUAUUCCAAUGUUUUGCUUUACAAUUCCACUGUGUGUGUGUGUGUGUGUGUGUGCGCGCGCGCGCACGUGUGUUUUUCAGGAGAACGAGAAACUCUGACACAAGAGUACAUCCUGACCGUUGGUACUGUGUACACAUCAACAUACACACACGUCUCCAUGCUGGAUAUCUCAGGAGCUUUCACACACAGUGUUAGGAAUAUCCCGGGACAGAGAAACGCACCUCCUAAGUGAGCGAGUUUAGCGUCAACCAGUGAAAUUUGCUGUAGCGUGAACACUUCGCCUCUGAACAGAAAUGAUCUUUCGAGGCAGCUUCUUCAUCACUACCUGCUCCGUUUGACUCAAAAAUGUAACGACCGGUUUCAAAAAGUCACGAUGUCUUCAGUUCAUGUGAUUUUACUGUUGAAUUUAAACAGGAAAUGUGAAAUAUUUUUGUUCCUUUGUUUCCUCUACUGUCUUUUUGCUGUGAUCUUGAACACAGUUGCAAUUUUUUUAAAAUAAUAAAUAAAUGAUCAUUCUAGUUCUCUCACUUUCCUUGUCCUAAUUGUCCUGUAUCUGUUAAAUCCGUUUCAUCUCUGGUCUUUCUGUCUGUAUGAACACUUGUAGAAAUGACUUGUAGUCCAUAUUUUUAAAUGAUUCAUGAUUUUGAAUUUAAAUAAAGAUAUUCUUUAAUUCUGUAUUUUGUCAUUUAAUUAUCAUUAGAAAUCAGAAGAUCAGAUUAAAGCCACGGCUUCUUUACCUGCCGAAGCUGUAAAACUUUCAAUAAACCAGUCAAUAGAUCAGCUGAAUAAAUGUAGAUUUUUAUUUACUGAUUAGAUGUAUUGAUGGUGUUGAUAGAUUAUUUGAAGAUUUUUAUUGAUCUUGAACAAUCAUUCAGUUAAAUAUUUUUUUUAAAAAAACUUGAUAAAUAGUUGAUGAAAUAAAUGUAGUGUAAUGUACUGAGUCAAAUAUGAAAACUACAAAUAAAUAAAAUCUAUUUAUAUCUGUGUAUAAUUAAAAACCUCACUUAAUACAAGAAAUUCAUAUCCUAAAUGUUGCAAGUGAUUAAUCUGAUCAUUUUAUUCACCUGUUUAAUUAUUACUUUCUAAAUAAUAAACAAAUGAAUGUUCUGGAUUCAUGAGGAAUGUUUACAUUUUGUGUCCAAACUCAA